GCCGCGUGAGCGGAGGAAGGCCUUCGGGUCGUAAAGCUCUGUUGUCAGGGAAGAAGGCGCGCCGUUCGAAUAGGGCGGCGCGGUGACGGUACCUGACGAGGAAGCCCCGGCUAACUACGUGCCAGCAGCCGCGGUAAAACGUAGGGGGCGAGCGUUGUCCGGAAUUACUGGGCGUAAAGCGCGCGCAGGCGGUCCUUUAAGUCUGAUGUGAAAUUCCGCGGCUCAACCGCGGGUGUGCAUUGGAAACUGGGGGACUUGAGUGCGGAAGAGGGGAGCGGAAUUCCCGGUGUAGCGGUGAAAUGCGUAGAGAUCGGGAGGAACACCAGUGGCGAAGGCGGCUCUCUGGUCCGGAACUGACGCUGAGGCGCGAAAGCGUGGGGAGCGAACAGGAUUAGAUACCCUGGUAGUCCACGCCGUAAACGAUGAGUGCUAAGUGUUAGAGGGGAUUGACCCUUUAGUGCUGCAGCUAACGCAUUAAGCACUCCGCCUGGGGAGUACGGCCGCAAGGCUGAAACUGAAGG
rnacentral:rRNA from 1 species